rnacentral:rRNA from 1 species
AGCAGUAGGGAAUCUUCCGCAAUGGACGAAAGUCUGACGGAGCAACGCCGCGUGAGUGAUGAAGGUUUUCGGAUCGUAAAGCUCUGUUGUUAGGGAAGAACAAGUACCGUUCGAAUAGGGCGGUACCUUGACGGUACCUAACCAGAAAGCCACGGCUAACUACGUGCCAGCAGCCGCGGUAAUACGUAGGUGGCAAGCGUUGUCCGGAAUUAUUGGGCGUAAAGGGCUCGCAGGCGGUUUCUUAAGUCUGAUGUGAAAGCCCCCGGCUCAACCGGGGAGGGUCAUUGGAAACUGGGGAACUUGAGUGCAGAAGAGGAGAGUGGAAUUCCACGUGUAGCGGUGAAAUGCGUAGAGAUGUGGAGGAACACCAGUGGCGAAGGCGACUCUCUGGUCUGUAACUGACGCUGAGGAGCGAAAGCGUGGGGAGCGAACAGGAUUAGAUA